ACGGGGGGUGCAAGCGUUAAUCGGAAUGACUGGGCGUAAAGGGCAUGUAGGCGGAUAGGUAAGUUAGAUGUGAAAGCCCUGGGCUCAACCUAGGAAUUGCAUUUAAAACUGUCUAACUAGAGUACUGUAGAGGGAGGUAGAAUUCCACGUGUAGCGGUGAAAUGCGUAGAGAUGUGGAGGAAUACCGGUGGCGAAGGCGACCUUCUGGACAGAUACUGACGCUGAGAUGCGAAAGCGUGGGGAGCAAACAGG
rnacentral:rRNA from 1 species